UACGUAGGGGGCAAGCGUUGUCCGGAGUUACUGGGCGUAAAGCGCACGCAGGCGGUCUCUUAAGUUUGGAGUGACAGUUGGUGGCUUAACUGCCAAAGUGCUUCGAAAACUGAGAGACUUGAGGGCUUCAGAGGGACACGGAAUUCCGGGUGGAGUGGUGAAAUGCGUAGAGAUCCGGCAGAAGACCGGUGGCGAAGGCGGCCCCCUGGGCAGUAACUGACACUGAGGCGCGACAGCGUGGGGAGCAAACAGG
rnacentral:rRNA from 1 species